rnacentral:rRNA from 1 species
CAGUAGCCGCGGGAAUACGAAGGUCCCGAGCGUUGUUCGGAAUCACUGGGCGUAAAGGGAGCGUAGGCGGCGUGGUAAGUCAGAUGUGAAAUCCCGGGGCUCAACCCCGGAACUGCAUCCGAUACUGCCAUGCUAGAGGAUUGGAGAGGUAGCUGGAAUUCUUGGUGUAGCAGUGAGAUGCGUGGAGAUCAAGAGGAACACUCGUGGCGAAAGCGAGCUACUGGACAAUAACUGACGCUGAGGCUCGAAGGCCAGGGUAGCGAAAGGGAUUAGAUACCCCUGUAGUCCCUGUCUCUUAUAU